rnacentral:rRNA from 1 species
UACGAAGGGGGGCUAGCGUUGCUCGGAAUCACUGGGCGUAAAGCGCACGUAGGCGGAUUGCUAAGUCAGGGGUGAAAUCCUGGAGCUCAACUCCAGAACUGCCUUUGAUACUGGCGAUCUCGAGUCCGGGAGAGGUGAGUGGAACUGCGAGUGUAGAGGUGAAAUUCGUAGAUAUUCGCAAGAACACCAGUGGCGAAGGCGGCUCACUGGCCCGGUACUGACGCUGAGACGCGAAAGCGUGGGGAGCAAACAGG